AUUCCUACGGGAGGCAGCAGUAAGGAAUAUUGGUCAAUGGGGGCAACCCUGAACCAGCCAUGCCGCGUGCAGGAAGACGGCCCUACGGGUUGUAAACUGCUUUUAUACGGGAAUAAAUCGCUCUACGUGUAGAGUGUUGAAUGUACUGUAAGAAUAAGGAUCGGCUAACACCGUGCCAGCAGCCGCGGUAAUACGGAGGAUCCAAGCGUUAUCCGGAUUUAUUGGGUUUAAAGGGUGCGUAGGCGGCCUGUUAAGUCAGGGGUGAAAGACGGUGGCUCAACCAUCGCAGUGCCCUUGAUACUGAUGGGCUUGAUUACACUUGAGGUAGGCGGAAUGUGACAAGUAGCGGUGAAAUGCAUAGAUAUGUCACAGAACACCAAUUGCGAAGGCAGCUUACUAAGGUGUUAAUGACGCUGAGGCACGAAAGCGUGGGGAUCAAACAGGAUUAGAUACCCUGGUAGUCCACGCCCUAAACGAUGAAUACUCGAUGUUAGCGAUAUACCGUUAGCGUCAAAGCGAAAGCGUUAAGUAUUCCACCUGGGGAGUACGCCCGCAAGGGUGAAACUCAAAGGAAUUGACGGGGGCCCGCACAAGCGGAGGAGCAUGUGGUUUAAUUCGAUGAUACGCGAGGAACCUUACCUACCCUUGACAUGUCCGAGAGCCCGCAGAGAUGUGGGUGUGCCCGAAAGGGAAUCGGAACACAGGUGCUGCAUGGCUGUCGUCAGCUCGUGUCGUGAGAUGUUGGGUUAAGUCCCGCAACGAGCGCAACCCCUACUGUGUGUUGUAUCACUCACACGGGACUGCCGAGAGAAACUCGGAGGAAGGUGGGGACGACGUCAAGUCAGCAUGGCCCUUACGUCCUGGGCUACACCCACGCUACAAUGGCCGGUACAACGGGCUGCGAAACCGCGAGGUGGAGCGAAUCCCUUAAAGCCGGUCUCAGUUCGGAUUGUAGGCUGCAACUCGCCUACAUGAAGCCGGAGUUGCUAGUAACCGCCGGUCAGCAUACGGCGGUGAAUAUGUUCCCGGGCCUUGUACACACCGCC
rnacentral:rRNA from 1 species